rnacentral:rRNA from 1 species
CCAGACUCCUACGGGAGGCAGCAGUGAGGAAUAUUGGUCAAUGGGCGGAAGCCUGAACCAGCCAAGUCGCGUGAGGGAAGAAGGCCCUGCGGGUCGCAGACCUCUUUGGACGGGGAGCAAGGCCGCCGACGUGUCGGCGGAAGGAGAGUACCCGCAGAACAAGCAUCGGCUAACUCCGUGCCAGCAGCCGCGGUAAUACGGAGGAUGCGAGCGUUAUCCGGAUUUAUGGGGUUUAAAGGGUGCGCAGGCGGCGCGGAGAGCGGGGGGUAAAACCGGGGGGCUCAACCCCGCCCAGCCGUCGGAACUGCCGGGCUAGAGUGGGCGAGAAGUGCGCGGAAUGCGCGGUGUAGCGGUGAAAUGCAUAGAUAUCACGCAGAACUCCGAUUGCGAAGGCAGCAUACCGGCGCCCAACUGACGCUGAAGCACGAAAGCGUGGGUAUCGAACAGGAUUAGAUACCCUAGUAGG